rnacentral:lncRNA from 1 species
AAGAUCGUACUUUCAGGGAUCAUUAAUUUUAUUACUAUGAGAAGAUUCUCUGAACAUGGAGAGUACCAGAAAGAAUGAACAGAAGGCUCUCCUGAGUGUGCAGUUGAGUCCUGUUCUUACCUCACUGCACCUGACAUUUGCAACAGAUACCAUCUUCUCCUCUUCUGGGAGGGCACAAGGGGAAGGGUGCCUGCCAUCUCA